rnacentral:rRNA from 1 species
UAAUACGAAGGUGGCAAGCGUUAUUCGAAAUCACUAGGCUUAAAGGGCGCGUAGGCGGAUAUGUAAGUGUCAGGUGAAAUCCCUCGGCUUAACCGAGGAAUUGCCUGACAAACUACAUAUCUUGAGUCAAGUAGGGGUGUGUGGAACUCUUGGUGGAGCGGUGGAAUGCGUAGAUAUCAAGAGGAACGCCGAAGGUGAAGACAGCACACUGGACUUGUACUGACGCUGAGGCGCGAAAGCGUGGGGAGCGAACAGGAUUAGAUACCCUGGUAGUCCACGCCGUAAACGAUGUAUACUAGGUCGCGGAGGUUCUGACACCGUCGCGGUCGUAGCAAAAGUGUUAAGUAUACCGCCUGGGGAGUACGGCCGCAAGGUUG